GACGAACGCUGGCAGCGUGCUUAACACAUGCAAGUCGAGCGGUAAGGCCCUUUCGGGGGUACACGAGCGGCGAACGGGUGAGUAACACGUGGGUGACCUGCCCUCAGCUCUGGGAUAAGCCUGGGAAACCGGGUCUAAUACCGGAUAUGACUCCAUGACGCAUGUUGUGGGGUGGAAAGCCUUGUGCGGCUGAGGAUGGGCCCGCGGCCUAUCAGCUUGUUGGUGGGGNGAUGGCCUACCAAGGCGACGACGGGUAGCCGGCCUGAGAGGGCGACCGGCCACACUGGGACUGAGACACGGCCCAGACUCCUACGGGAGGCAGCAGUGGGGAAUCUUGCGCAAUGGGCGAAAGCCUGACGCAGCGACGCCGCGUGAGGGAUGACGGCCU
rnacentral:rRNA from 1 species